rnacentral:rRNA from 12 species
GGGAUACCCGCUGAACUUAAGCAUAUCAAUAAGCGGAGGAAAAGAAACCAACAGGGAUUGCCCUAGUAACGGCGAGUGAAGCGGCAACAGCUCAAAUUUGAAAUCUGGCCCUUUCAGGGUCCGAGUUGUAAUUUGUAGAGGAUGCUUUUGGGCAGCCACCGGUCUAAGUUCCUUGGAACAGGACGUCAUAGAGGGUGAGAAUCCCGUAUGUGACUGGACAGGCACCCUUUGUAAAGCUCCUUCGACGAGUCGAGUUGUUUGGGAAUGCAGCUCUAAAUGGGAGGUAAAUUUCUUCUAAAGCUAAAUACCGGCCAGAGACCGAUAGCGCACAAGUAGAGUGAUCGAAAGAUGAAAAGCACUUUGGAAAGAGAGUUAAAAAGCACGUGAAAUUGUUGAAAGGGAA